GACGAACGCUGGCGGCGUGCCUAAUACAUGCAAGUCGAACGCAGUGGGGACGGGUGAGUAACACGUGGGUAACCUACCAUCAGAGGGGAUAACACUUGGAAACAGGUGCUAAACCGAUACUGAUGGAUGAACCCGGGGUGCAUUAGCUAGUUGGUGAGGUAACGGCCCACCAAGGCCACGAUGCAUAGCCGGCCUGAGAGGGUGAUCGGCCACACUGGAACUGAGACACGGCCCAGACUCCUACGGAAGGCAGCAGUGGGGAAUCUUGGGCAAUGGGCGAAAGCCUGAUCGAGCAACGCCGCGUGUGUGAAGAAGGUUUUCGGAUCGUAAAGCUCUGUUGUUUGAGAAGCGGUAUCUAACCAGAAAGCAACGGCUAACUUCGUGCCAGCCGCCGCGGUAAUUC
rnacentral:rRNA from 1 species